rnacentral:rRNA from 1 species
CAGUAGCCGCGGUAAUACGUAGGUCCCGAGCGUUGUCCGGAAUUAUUGGGCGUAAAGCGCGCGCAGGUGGUUUAAUAAGUCUGAUGUGAAAGCCCACGGCUCAACCGUGGAGGGUCAUUGGAAACUGUUAAGCUUGAGUGCAGGAGAGAAAAGUGGAAUUCCUAGUGUAGCGGUGAAAUGCGUAGAGAUUAGGAGGAACACCAGUGGCGAAGGCGGCUUUUUGGCCUGUAACUGACACUGAGGCGCGAAAGCGUGGGGAGCAAACAGGAUUAGAUACCCCAGUAGUCCCUGUCUCUUAUAA